rnacentral:rRNA from 1 species
UAGGGAAUCUUCGGCAAUGGGGGCAACCCUGACCGAGCAACGCCGCGUGAGUGAAGAAGGUUUUCGGAUCGUAAAGCUCUGUUGUAAGAAAAGAACGUGUGUGAGAGUGGAAAGUUCACACAGUGACGGUAACUUACCAGAAAGGGACGGCUAACUACGUGCCAGCAGCCGCGGUAAUACGUAGGUCCCGAGCGUUGUCCGGAUUUAUUGGGCGUAAAGCGAGCGCAGGCGGUUUAAUAAGUCUGAAGUUAAAGGCAGUGGCUUAACCAUUGUUCGCUUUGGAAACUGUUAAACUUGAGUGCAGAAGGGGAGAGUGGAAUUCCAUGUGUAGCGGUGAAAUGCGUAGAUAUAUGGAGGAACACCGGUGGCGAAAGCGGCUCUCUGGUCUGUAACUGACGCUGAGGCUCGAAAGCGUGGGGAGCGAACAGGAUUAGAUACCCUGGUAGUCCACGCCGUAAACGAUGAGUGCUAGGUGUUGGAUCCUUUCCGGGAUUCAGUGCCGCAGCUAACGCAUUAAGCACUCCGCCUGGGGAGUACGACCGCAAGGUUG